GUUCCCACCCAGCUGGGUUGGUCGCUGAGCUCUCGCUCCCUGCCCAGGGGGGCAAGCCAAGGCCCCUGGCCGCUUGCUUCCUGCCUGACCCCCCCCCCCGUGCGUGAGCCCCUGCUGGCUGGGGAAGGGGCGGGGGGGCCCGACUUGCCGCGGAGCAGAUGCUGCCCAAGUGCCUGGGCUUUGUCAUUAACAAAUUGCAAUUAAAUCUUUAAAGAGAUGUCUCUGCCUUCCUGUCCCUGAGACUCCGGAUCCCCCUCCCUCCAGUCCCUCCCCUGCACUGGGGCCAAUAGCAGCCCCCCUGCGCGGCGAGCCGCUAGCCCCCAGCCACGGGGCUCGCAGGAGGCGGUGCUGAGCCGCCCGCAUUCCCGGGGGGGGACACACAGCUGCUGCUUCUCCUUCAGAGGCGCCUGCCCACGAGCCCGGCACACCUGGGAGCCGAGGCGCGCUGGGGGAGGAGCCGGCCGGCGCUUUGCCCUGGUUGCUCUCAGCUGCGGGCUCGCUCGGUGGAUCCUGGUGGAGGCCGCUGGGGCGAGCCGGGGCCUCUAGCGAUGUGCACCUAGGAAGGGCUGGCGAGAGGCCAGGGCUGCCCGGCUAGGCACCGAGGCGGUACGUAGCAGCAACAGCAGCAGCGAUGGCCCCUGGCAGCAGAGACGUCGCAGCCGGGCUCUGAGUCCUGCAGGGAACCGGCACCUCCACGGCCACGGGGAGGAAAGCGGCAGGGUCUAUGGAGUAUCAGAGGAAGAAGAAACUGACCAACUUCACCAUUGGGCUCCUCUUCCUCUCGGGAGGGAUUGAGUACGCGGUGAUUCUGCCCACGAUCUGGGCCUACCUGCAGACGCUCCAUGCUGAGCCGUACUUCCUGGGCCUGGGCAUCUCUGCCUUCAGCCUCACCGGCCUGCUCACCGGGCCCCUCUUCGGGCACUGGUCUGACCGGAGCCAGCGCACCAAAGCCAUCAUCCUCUUCGCCAACAUGUUUGAGAUAGUGGGGAAUUUCAUGUACUUUAUGGGCGUCUCCAAGUGGCUUCUCCUGGGCAGCCGGCUGGUGGCAGGUGUUGGGACAGGAGCGGGUGCCUCCAUCUUUGGCUAUCUCACCCGCUCCACCACCUCACAGGAGCGCGCCACGGUGUUUGCUGCAGUGAUGGCGUGCCGGCAGGUCGGGCUGCUGAUCGGACCCGCCUGUAACCUCUUCCUGCGGCUCUGUAACUUCCGGCUGGGGCCCUUUGAGGUCAACAAGUUCACCUCGCCGGGGCUCUUCAUGUGCCUGCUCUGGCUCCUGCUCCAGUUCGUGGUCGUGGCGAUGUACUAUGACCUGCAGCCCGGGCCCCACCCACAGCGAGCGGCGCUGGCAGCGCCGCAGGAGGAGGAGCGGGAGCCCUUGGUGCAGCACGACGCUGGCCAGGAGGAGCCCGCUGAGCACCGGAGCUAUGGCGGCACCGUCCAGCGGGUGCCCGCCGAGCCCCCCAUGGGGGACGAGUCCCGCUACGUGCCCAACGGGCACCUGGCCGAGGAGGAGGGCAGAGUAAAGGAGAAGAGCCCCUUUCGGAACUUCAGCGCCAUGCGAGAGUACCUGCGGGAGGAAGUGGUGGUUCUGCUCACUGCCCAGUUCAUCACCCUCUUCAACCAAACAGCCCUGGAGACCAUGGUGACUCCCAUCACCCAGCGCUACCUGAGCUUCGGGGAGCUCGAGAACAGCAUCAUGUACUUCCUGUGCGGCAUCGAGGUGAUCUGCGGCUUCUUCCUGGUGCGUUGCCUCAGCAGCCGUCUCCCCGACCGUGUGAUCCUGGUGCUCGGGCUGGUCAUCUGCAACGUGGCUUGUGUCUGGUGCCUGCUCUUCCUGGCAAGGCCCCAAGGAAGCUUUCCCGUCCUGCUGUCUGAGCUGGUGGUCGGCGUAUUCCUGCAGGUGCUGGGGCUGCCCUUCGUGGCUGUCUCCCAGGUCUCGCUCUUCUCCAAGGUCACAGCAGAGAGAACACAAGGUUUCAGCCAGGGCCUGCGACGGUCAGUGGGGGGAAUCGCCACCAUUCUGGGGCCCCUGUGGGCUGGAGGCCUGACCGAAAACCUCUACAUCAUGCUGGGGGUGAUGAUGGGCCUGCUGGGCCUGCUGAUGGUCAUGGUUGGGCUCUCGUACUCUUACCUGGUGGAGCCGCCCAGGAGCUACGUGCCGGGACCGUCCCCGGAGGAGCGGCACUCGUGACCUUCCACCCCUCCUCCGCGCACCCAGAGGCAUUGCACGGGUUAAAGCCACCAAGGUAUUGCCCUGGCUGGCACCGAGGGCUCAUGCAACACAGCCUGUCACCAUCUGGCUGCCCCCAUUCUGGGCAGGGCCAUGGGGAGUGGGACCUGAGCUCACAGCCUUGCACAGGACAGUGUUCAGCACAGCGGGGCUGUCAGUGGACGAGCCCACACCCCUGCUGUGCUGCAUUAGCACGCCUUCCACAUCCAUCCUUCCUUCCCCUCCUGGACUGGCACUCCCCACCACCGUGGGCUGGCCCUUGCCCUGCCCCUCCCUCCAAGGACUGGCCUUCCUGUGCUGCUGGCCUGCUGUCCCCAGAUUGACCAGCCUUCCUUUCCCACCCCUGUGCCCUGCUGUGCUCCAGGUGGCUGCUGUCUCUCUGGACAGAGGAACAAGGGGAGAGGUGAAGUCCUGGGGGGUGGGGGUGCUCCUGGCCUGCUGAGGGGGCGGGAGGCUGGAUCUCUCCUAGACACAGAGUGGUGUUGAUACCACCUUGCUGGGGGCAGGGGGCUGAGCUGUGGGCCUGGUAUUGGGGUGGGUGUGUGGCUGGGUGCUCCUCGCUGGAGAAGGCAGGGGGCCGCCAGCCCACGUGGAAGAGCCACAAAACUGCUGGCCUCUUCCCGCAGGCUCAGGGCAAGGGCGGCCCGGCCCCCUCACUCCAGGCUUGCUGGGGGCAGGGGCUGGGCAGGGCUCUCCCCGUCUCUGUAACGUGUGUGUGGAAGAACGACUAAACCCGGGCGAGGGGCGGAGGCUGAUGGGCAGAUUCAUCCUGCCAGGCAGGGGCCUCAGGGCAUUGCUGUACUGGGGGAGAGUCUGAGAGACCUGUGCCAUCCCAGGGGCACCACAUGGGCACAGGCACUGCCAGGCUGGACCAGAGGGGGCCAUCAGCAGCACUAAUAAUACCCCCGCCCACCAACUCCUCUCUCAUUCUCUGCCAGUGCCCUGGCCAGGAGGGGCCAAGCCCCCUCAGAGCUGGUAACGGGACUGCUGCAGUACCGCCUGCCACCACAGGGGGCUCCCCUCUCUGGAAGCUGCAGUACCUGGCUGCCGCUAGAGUUGCCAACCCUCCAGGAUGGGCCUGGAGUCUCCAGGAAUGGAAGAUUGUCGUGUGGUUAAAUCUCCAGGAAUGCGUCCAACCAAAACUGGCAACCCUAGCUGCCACUAGGGGACUUCUAGCCCAGGAGGCAGUGGGGGGAGGGGGGUUGCAGUGGGGCCAGCCCCAUGGAGGCAGAAAGUAGGGCUGUGUGCGCACUCCCUGCUGCGCAGCUCCUGCCUUCCCAGACCGAGCAGCAGGAGGGGGAAGGAGCAGGGAGGGGCUGGGUUGGCUGAGGCUAG